AGAACGAACGCUGGCGGCAUGCCUAAUACAUGCAAGUCGAACGAACUCUUCGGAGUUAGUGGCGCACGGGUGCGUAACGCGUGGGAAUCUGCCCCUUGGUUCGGAAUAACAGUUGGAAACGACUGCUAAUACCGGAUGAUGACGAAAGUCCAAAGAUUUAUCGCCAAGGGAUGAGCCCGCGUAGGAUUAGCUAGUUGGUGAGGUAAAGGCUCACCAAGGCAACGAUCCUUAGCUGGUCUGAGAGGAUGAUCAGCCACACUGGGACU
rnacentral:rRNA from 1 species